GACGAACGCUGGCGGCGUGCUUAACACAUGCAAGUCGAACGGAAAGGCCCUGCUUUUGUGGGGUGCUCGAGUGGCGAACGGGUGAGUAACACGUGAGUAACCUGCCCUUGACUUUGGGAUAACUUCAGGAAACUGGGGCUAAUACCGGAUAGUAGCUCCUGCUGCAUGGUGGGGGUUGGAAAGUUUCGGCGGUUGGGGAUGGACUCGCGGCUUAUCAGCUUGUUGGUGGGGUAGUGGCUUACCAAGGCUUUGACGGGUAGCCGGCCUGAGAGGGUGACCGGCGACAUUGGGGCGAAGAAAAGGGCGAGAUUCCGAAGGAGGAGACCGGUGGGGAAUUUUGCCGAAAGCGGGGAGCUGUACUGCCGCAGAGCCGCGGGCGGGAUGAGGGCCAUCGGUUUAAAAACAGAUUUCGCCUGGAAGAGAGCGUGAGAGAGGUGGAGGGGUAAAGAAGCACCGCCCAAAGAGGCG
rnacentral:rRNA from 1 species